AAGAAAGUGACAGAGCGGUUAUGUAAUUGGCUUGAAACCAAUCUAGGGGGGUUCGACUCCUCCUUUUCUCG
rnacentral:tRNA from 1 species